GACGAACGCUGGCGGCGUGCUUAACACAUGCAAGUCGAACGAAGUGGCGAACGGGUGAGUAACGCGUGAUCAACCUGCCAUUCAGAGGGGGACAACAGUUGAAACCGAGCGCUUAUACCGCAUACUGAAGGAGGUGAUUGCGUCUGAUUGGCUAGGUGGAGGGGUAACGGCCCACCAAGGCGAUGAUCAGUAGCCGGGCUGAGAGGAUGAUCGGCCACAGUGGGACUGAGACACGGCCCAGACUCCUACGGGAGGCAGCAGUGGGGAAUCUUCCGCAAUGGACGAAAGUCUGACGGAGCAACGCCGCGUGAGUGAUGACGGCCUUCGGGUUGUAAAGCUCUGUUAAUCGGGACGCGGUACCGGAAUAGAAAGCCACGGCUAACUACGUGCCAGCAGCCGCGGUAAUUC
rnacentral:rRNA from 1 species